rnacentral:rRNA from 1 species
CAGUCGCCGCGGGAAUACGAAGGGUGCAAGCGUUAAUCGGAAUUACUGGGCGUAAAGCGUGCGUAGGUGGUGGUUUAAGUCCGUUGUGAAAGCCCUGGGCUCAACCUGGGAAUUGCAGUGGAUACUGGGUCACUAGAGUGUGGUAGAGGAUAGUGGAAUUUCCGGUGUAGCAGUGAAAUGCGUAGAGAUCGGAAGGAACAUCUGUGGAGAAGGCGACUAUCUGGGCCAACACUGACACUGAGGCACGAAAGCGUGGGGAGCAUACAGGAUUAGAUACCCCUGUAGUCCCUGUCUCUUAUAC